CGAGUGGCAGAAGUUAAGGCCUGGCUUCUGCUCCCGGCGCAUCAGGGUUCAAAUCCGCCUGCCGACCUCUCGGGAUCUUUGAGAGGUGAUGAAAUGGGAGGUGGCCCCCCAUCUUGUGGACGGUGUAGGACAUGAUAAAAUCAAUUUGCGAACUGACCAGGAACUAAGUUGACGCGCCGUUGAUCCGCUAGAUUUGGUUGGAUGCCGGUGGUGAGUUGCCAAACUCAAAAGAGUACAUUCUGAAGUCGGAUGGGGUGAAUGGAUUAGGGUGCCCCUCUAGCAGGGGAGAGCAGGGAACUGCCUCGGGAAGGAGGCCACUAGUGAAGCUUAACCACCCUGUUACAACAACAACUUACUACCAGGGCCCCCCAAGGAGCCGCAAACACACGCCCUGCAGCAGCCACAAUCACCCUCCCAACAUCACGCAGAUCCGCACACCCAACAUAUGCCUGCCCACAGCUUUGCAUAUCCUCGCGACCCCGACCGGAGAGGAACCCUCCCCCAUAACAGGCAAUCGUGAGACGGACGUACACAAGCGAUGGAAACACGCACAUAUCUGCGUUUCAUUAAUGAAAUAUAUCAAGGAACUAAUUAAUGCAACAUCAAAAUCCGCGUAUGUGAACGCAGGCACACAUAUGCAUGGAUGCGCAGGUAAUAAAACAGUAGUGCCAACUGCUGAAGCGCCUGCUGGCCUGUAUGACCUACUCCCUACCGGCCAACAGGGCCCUGAAGCUCUUAACUUGCAACACUCGGCCACAUUCUCGCUUUGCCGCCUGUUUACUUGCGAAGUAUACCUACCUUGUACGCUACCUACCUAAUCUUACCAUCGCUACCAGGCUCUACCGGGCUGUCCGCCUGGCAUGCCUAAAUAUAUAAUUGUGUAAUGUAAGGGGAUAUGGAUCCACCCAGCCUGGCAAUCCCGUCUGUAUGUCCAAUGAAGUAACAACCUAGGUCAGCGCGGAUGAGGGCAGUGCUUGUCACGUGCGUACACAACCAUCCUGCGGCUUUCCGCUCCCCGCUGUCGUACACGUCCGCACAGACUUGAGCCGCGACCGGCUUCCCGCCAUGUGCUUAGGAAUCGGUGUCCCUUGUGGCCCUGCUUAGCAAUACAAUGUAUUUUGAGCCAUGCGGUCAGUGAAGUUAUGCAUGCGAAAAGGAGCUUAGCCUCUACACCCGGUGAGGUUCGAACUCACGCAGCUUUCGCUAUGGGAAAGCCCAUUCUCAAAGCUUGAGACCCACCCGUUAGACCACUCCGGCACAGGUGCAAUCCGAGAUCUGCUCGGAAACCCGAGGAUGCCCGCGCCCGCACAUCACCUGCAGAUAUCUGUCAACCUGCACACGUGCCGUUGUACAACCUUCAUCCGAACGUAUACGUGUGCUCCUGUGUCCGUGGCCGAAAGCUGAAACGGCGGGGUGUAAUGGGCCCGAGUGUGUGCCCGGAUCUCUAGGACACAUAGACAGCACUAGAUCCCGCUUUGCGCAGGCAAGCGGUCCCACGGCUGCUACACGUAUAUGUAUGUAUGCCCUUUCGACAACUCCUAAGUCCUGCAACAACACUCAAACCAUCAUCCGGCCAUCAGAACCCCCUUGACCUCACCCCCUUUCGAGCCAACUUUCGAGCCGCCCAUCCAACCAUCCAUCCCCCCAUCCAUCCAUCCAUCCAUUCACCCAUCCAUCCGUCCAUCCAUUCACCCAUCCAUCCGUCCAUCCAUCCAUCCAUUUCCUUCCUUCCCUUCCUUACAGGUAGAGCCCCAGCACCCUCGUGACCUGCUCCCCAUCCAGCGGUCCGUCCACAUCCCCCGCCCAUUCGUACGUGUGCAUGGCGCCCUUGCCCUUCACAUCCGUCAUGCCCAGGUCACGCCAUGCCUCAUUAGGCAACAGCGACUGGGUGGCGGAGCUGACGUGGAUACGGCCCGGGGAGCAAGUGCUCUCCAUGCGGCUGGCCACGUUCUGAACGUACGACGGACGGAGGAGGAGAAGAGAGCGGGGGAAAGAGGGUUUCAGCGCUGACGUGUGCGGGUCCCACUGUACCAAGCCAUGUUCAGGUCAUGUGACGGCCCUCCCCUUGCUCCUUUCCCUCGCUCCUUCCCCACCCUCUCCCCUCCCUCUCCCCUCCCUCUCCCCUCCCUCUCCCCUCCCUCUCCCCUCCCUCUCCCCUCCCUCUCCCCUCCCUCUCCCCUCCCUCUCCCCUCCCUCUCCCCUCCCUCUCCCCUCCCUCUCCCCUCCCUCUCCUCNNNNNNNNNNNNNNNNNNNNNNNNNNNNNNNNNNNNNNNNNNNNNNNNNNGUGGCCCUGCUUAGCAAUACAAUGUAUUUUGAGCCAUGCGGUCAGUGAAGUUAUGCAUGCGAAAAGGAGCUUAGCCUCUACACCCGGUGAGGUUCGAACUCACGCAGCUUUCGCUAUGGGAAAGCCCAUUCUCAAAGCUUGAGACCCACCCGUUAGACCACUCCGGCACAGGUGCAAUCCGAGAUCUGCUCGGAAACCCGAGGAUGCCCGCGCCCGCACAUCACCUGCAGAUAUCUGUCAACCUGCACACGUGCCGUUGUACAACCUUCAUCCGAACGUAUACGUGUGCUCCUGUGUCCGUGGCCGAAAGCUGAAACGGCGGGGUGUAAUGGGCCCGAGUGUGUGCCCGGAUCUCUAGGACACAUAGACAGCACUAGAUCCCGCUUUGCGCAGGCAAGCGGUCCCACGGCUGCUACACGUAUAUGUAUGUAUGCCCUUUCGACAACUCCUAAGUCCUGCAACAACACUCAAACCAUCAUCCGGCCAUCAGAACCCCCUUGACCUCACCCCCUUUCGAGCCAACUUUCGAGCCGCCCAUCCAACCAUCC
rnacentral:lncRNA from 1 species